rnacentral:rRNA from 1 species
CCCUUAGAUGUUCUGGGCCGCACGCGCGCUACACUGACGAAUGCAACGAGCUUAUAACCUUGGCCGAAAGGUCUGGGUAAUCUCCAAAUUUCGUCGUGAUGGGGAUAGAUUAUUGCAAUUAUUAAUCUUCAACGAGGAAUGCCUAGUAAGCGCAAGUCAUCAGCUUGCGUUGAUUACGUCCCUGCCCUUUGUACACACCGCCCGUCGCUCCUACCGAUUGAAUGGUCCGGUGAAGCGUUCGGACCGUGGCCUUUGGACGGUUCGCCGUCUGUUGGCUGCGGGAAGUUCGUUAAACCUUAUUAUUUAGAGGAAGGAGAAGUCGUAACA